UACGAAGGGGGCUAGCGUUGCUCGGAAUCACUGGGCGUAAAGCGCACGUAGGCGGAUUCUUAAGUCAGGGGUGAAAUCCUGGAGCUCAACUCCAGAACUGCCUUUGAUACUGAGGGUCUUGAGUUCGGGAGAGGUGAGUGGAACUGCGAGUGUAGAGGUGAAAUUCGUAGAUAUUCGCAAGAACACCAGUGGCGAAGGCGGCUCACUGGCCCGAUACUGACGCUGAGGCACGAAAGCGUGGGGAGCAAACAGG
rnacentral:rRNA from 1 species